AUUGAACGCUGGCGGCAUGCCUCACACAUGCAAGUCGAACGGUAACAGGUCUUCGGAUGCUGACGAGUGGUGAACGGGUGAGUAAUACAUCGGAACGUGCCUAGUAGUGGGGGAUAACUACUCGAAAGAGUGGCUAAUACCGCAUGAGAUCUACGGAUGAAAGCAGGGGAUCGCAAGACCUUGUGCUACUAGAGCGGCCGAUGGCAGAUUAGGUAGUUGGUGGGAUAAAAGCUUACCAAGCCGAAGAUCUGUAGCUGGUCUGAGAGGACGAUCAGCCACACGGGGACUAGGAAACGGCCCAGACUCCUACGGGAGGCAGCAGUGGGGAAUUUUGGACAAUGGGCGCAAGCCUGAUCCAGCAAUGCCGCGUGCAGGAUGAAGGCCUUCGGGUUGUAAACUGCUUUUGUACGGAACGAAAAGCCCCGGGUUAAUACCCUGGGGUCAUGACGGUACCGUAAGAAUAAGCACCGGCUAACUACGUGCCAGCAGCCGCCGUAA
rnacentral:rRNA from 1 species